AGGGUGUAGAGGUUCCUCUGGACCCCGCUCCUCUUUUGUUUCUCUUCCUCUCUGAGGAGAAAAGCUCCUGGUCCCCCUCAUCCCUUGCCGGGCACUUUGAGGAGGAGCAGAACCAAGAAACAGGACUCGCAGAGGCCUCAGACCUCCCCUACUCAAAGUUCAGGGACUCGGAGCCUGGGAGGCUGGGGUGGGAGGGAGGAAGGAGGCGGCGCUGGCCGCUAAAUUUGUUCAUCCUGACUGUCAGUCCCUUAAUCUGAUCCCCGAGGAACAACGCAGAGGCUUCACUCUGGAUGACAAACGAGGAGGGGAGAGGCCUGCCCUGCCUGGACUCUGGGCCCCAGCCAGGACUGUGUAAGCGAGAGGAUUCCUGCACCCCCUUUAAUCCCUCGGAGGGGUGUCCCCAGUGGGGAGACCAGACCUGGGAAACAUGGCUCACCUUGGUAAGCCAUCAGCCUCUCCAUGCCUCAGUUUCUUCAUCUGCAAAAUGGGCAUACCUUUAGGCCUAGUGAGGCUAGUGCAUGUAAGCACUUAAAGCCUGCAGCGGUGGGGCUCAGAUGGCCCAGCCCUCUGCUCUGAGGACCUCCCUGACCUGGCAUGCACAUUUGCAUGGUCAUGUACACGUGCGUGCACACGAGCUGGGGAGCAGUGAAGACGCUCCCAGAGGAGAAGCUCAGAAACGAUGAUGAGGUCUUUUCUGAAUGGACCUGACCAUUUCGAAGAACAGAAUGGCAAUUUCACAUGGUGCAACCGGAGAGGUGAACCGCCCAGCCCAGAGCCGGCCUGCAGCGGCACUCACCCCAGCAGCUGUCGUAGCGGAGCGAGCCUGCGUCCUCUAUAAACCCAGGUGGACCUUCAGAAGCUCUAUGCCGAUGAGCUGGUGGGUGGAGGGCUCCCCUGGCCCUCAGUUCUCCACUGUUGGGUAGGGAGAGAGAGAAAGAGGAAUCUGCUCCCGAUGUUCCUGGGCCAGGGAGCCCCAGAGCCACGGCUCCUUUUCUGUGAACAGUACCAGGGGUCCAACUUGCUCACCAACGGAGUGUUCACUUGGGGCGCUCCCCGUGCCCAGCAAGGCCCCACACUUGGUUUAACAUGCUGCUGCCAUGUCUCGAAAUUCUCAACAAUUGUGGAGCAAGGGGCCCUGCAUUUGCAUUUUUCACCCAGACCGUUACAACGUACAUAGCCGGUCCUGCCUGCCAGACAUGCGUGUUACAGCUGCGUCCAGCUGGCCACAUCACUCCACACUGCGCUCCGCCCCCAACGCUACAACAGUCCCCAAAAGCCUGAAGCCGCAGACUCAUCCACUCUCCAGGCCGGCUCUCCGGGCUGUGGGCACAAGUGAGAUUGCCCUCUGUACGUUCUGAGGGACCAGGAACCUCAGGGUGUGGGUAUCAGCCUCUCCUCACUAGGCAGCCCCCAACCCACCAUCCUCAGGAGCCCCCCCGGGCCGGACGGCGGGUCCUCUGGCUAAGCUGAACUCCAAUGGGACACUGAAAUGCCAGCCUCUCCCUCCUGCCGGCUCCCUUGAUUCCUGAACAAGGGAUUCCUUCAUCCUUCCGGGGUCCCUGCCCUUCCUUCCAGCUCUGCUGCAGAUGUGAGGGAAGAUGCUCUCUCCCUCAAAUCUGUGCAGUCCCCAAGGGUCUCCCCCACUGGCCCCCACCUCUUCUGCUCUGCACGUGGGCGAGGGCCUUUGGGGAGGAUGUGGGUCUGACAGGGCCCGGCCGUGAGCCCUGCAGUGACAAGGAGGUCUGGGAGGGUCUGCCACUCGACUAGCCUGUGGGAGACCCAGCCCCUUGGGACAGGCAAGUCCCCACCAGACAGCCGGCAACAGAGCAGCAACUGCUCUGAAGAAGGUGCCAGAGGGGAUGUGGCAGAGAAGAGGACACGCUGUCGGGAUGGUGGCCAUUCCAGUGGAAGAGGCCAAGGACAACCAGGAGGACCAGUCACCAGUAAUAAAAAAAAGCUGCACGAAA